rnacentral:rRNA from 1 species
UGCAAGUCGAACGGUGAUGCCCAGCUUGCUGGGUGGAUCAGUGGCGAACGGGUGAGUAACACGUGAGUAACCUGCCCCAGACUCCGGGAUAAGCCUUGGAAACGAGGUCUAAUACUGGAUACGAGAUGCCCCUGCAUGGGGAGUGUCUGGAAAGAUUUAUCGGUCUGGGAUGGACUCGCGGCCUAUCAGCUUGUUGGUGGGGUAAUGGCCUACCAAGGCGACGACGGGUAGCCGGCCUGAGAGGGCGACCGGCCACACUGGGACUGAGACACGGCCCAGACUCCUACGGGAGGCAGCAGUGGGGAAUAUUGCACAAUGGGCGAAAGCCUGAUGCAGCGACGCCGCGUGAGGGAUGAAGGCCUUCGGGUUGUAAACCUCUUUCAGCAGGGAAGAAGCGCAAGUGACGGUACCUGCAGAAGAAGCGCCGGCUAACUACGUGCCAGCAGCCGCGGUAAUACGUAGGGCGCAAGCGUUGUCCGGAAUUAUUGGGCGUAAAGAGCUCGUAGGCGGUUUGUCGCGUCUGGUGUGAAAACUCAAGGCUCAACCUUGAGCUUGCAUCGGGUACGGGCAGACUAGAGUGCGGUAGGGGUGACUGGAAUUCCUGGUGUAGCGGUGGAAUGCGCAGAUAUCAGGAGGAACACCGAUGGCGAAGGCAGGUCACUGGGCCGCAACUGACGCUGAGGAGCGAAAGCAUGGGGAGCGAACAGGAUUAGAUA